rnacentral:rRNA from 1 species
GACGAACGCUGGCGGCGUGCUUAACACAUGCAAGUCGAACGGAAAGGCCCUGCUUUUGUGGGGUGCUCGAGUGGCGAACGGGUGAGUAACACGUGAGUAACCUGCCCUUGACUUUGGGAUAACUUCACGAAACUGGGGCUAAUACCGGAUAGGAGCUCCUGCUGCAUGGUGGGGGUUGGAAAGUUUCGGUGGUUGGGGAUGGACUCGCGGCUUAUCAGCUUGUUGGUGGGGUAGUGGCUUACCAAGGCUUUGACGGGUAGCCGGCCUGAGAGGGUGACCGGCCACAUUGGGACUGAGAUACGGCCCAGACUCCUACGGGAGGCAGCAGUGGGGAAUAUUGCACAAUGGGCGGAAGCCUGAUGCAGCAACGCCGCGUGCGGGAUGACGGCCUUCGGGUUGUAAACCGCUUUCGCCUGUGACGAAGCGUGAGUGACGGUAAUGGGUAAAGAAGCACCGGCUAACUACGUG